rnacentral:rRNA from 1 species
UGGGGAAUUUUGCGCAAUGGGCGAAAGCCUGACGCAGCGACGCCGCGUGUGCGAUGAAGGCCCUCGGGUCGUAAAGCACUGUCAAGUGGGACGAAAACCCGGUUGUUAAUACCAGCCGGGCUUGACGGUACCGCUAAAGGAAGCACCGGCUAACUCUGUGCCAGCAGCCGCGGUAAUACAGAGGGUGCAAACGUUGCUCGGAAUUACUGGGCGUAAAGCGCGUGUAGGCGGUUUAGAAAGUCAGCUGUGAAAGCCCUCGGCUCAACCGAGGAAGUGCAGCUGAAACUGCUAGACUAGAAUAUCGAAGAGGAAGGUGGAAUGCGCAGUGUAGAGGUGAAAUUCGUAGAUAUUGCGUAGAACAUCGGUGGCGAAGGCGACCUUCUGGGAGAUUAUUGACGCUGAGACGCGAAAGCGUGGGGAGCAAACAGG